UCGUCCAGCCCCACACCCACAGACUCGUCCCCCUCCACCCCCCAGCCCUCCGAGCCUGCCCCCCCGGCCCCUCCGGCCCCCCUGCCCCCUGGCUGGCCUGGCUGUCCGCUGCCCCCGCUGGUGGUUGUGGGAGGUGGCGGGGAGGCAGGGAAGUACUGCUGCCUCUGUGGGGCCUGGUUCAACAACCCCCUCAUGGCUCAGCAGCACUACGAAGGCAAGAAGCACCGCAGGAACGCCGCCAGGGUGCGCCUGCUGGAGCAGCUGGCCGGCAGCCUGGACGCCACCGAGACCACAGGUCUGCGCAGCACCUAUUCCUGCAGUGUGUGUAGUGUUGUCCUGAACUCCAUUGAACAGUACCAUGCUCACCUGCAGGGCUCCAAACACCAAAACAAUCUGAAGCAACAUCAACAGUGAGGGAUGGGUGCAGAGGAAGAUGGCUACCUUCAUCCCGGAGAAUGGAGGGUGAGAUGGAAGGAUGAGAGAGCGAUGGAUCAAGAAAAUUUGAACUGCAAAUGUUCAUAAUAAAGACACAGCUGGAAAGAGACUGUUACAGCUGUAGAGGGAAGAGUGUGCCAGGGUGUGUCACUGUGUGUGUGUGAUGGUAAAUGUGUGUGUGUGUGUGAGUGAUUACAUCUGCGUACGUCUGUGUGUGAGCGUAAAUGUAUGUGUGUCAGCCUGUGUGUGUGUGCUAUCAGAUAUUUAUAGAUAUCUUUUAAUCUUUCACAGUUUCUCUGAGGUUGUAAAACACCUAAGGGUUUGCUAUAUAUACAGAAUAUAUAUAUAAAUAUAUAUUUAAGUGUGUGUAUGUUUCUGAAAUCCCCAUGCUGUCUCGUGACAAGUGCUGGUUGAUCUCUGUAUGACCUUUGACCUUGACCCUGAUCCUGAUGUCAGAGUGUGACGUCCUCCAUGGAGGUCACAGUUUAAUGAUCGUCGUAGAUUAGACCCCUCGUUACUAUAGCACCCAGACCGGCACAGCCCACUUAAUCUCUCCGACUAUCCAAUGUUCAUAUUAAGGAAGAGAAAUGUUCCCACACGAGAGUGUUUGAGUAGAAGAGGAUAUUUAAGACACUGCACAUGCAAGUGAUAAGUAGGAUGUCUAUGUCAGCAUGUGGUGGUGUUCUGCGUCCUUGACACAGGUAAACACACACACACAGAGAGACACAGACAGACACACACCCACACACAGAGAGACACAGACACACACACACACAGAGACACGGACAGAUCCACGUGCACACACACACACAGAGACACAAACACACAGACAUACCCGGAGACACAGACAGACUCAGACACAAAUCCUUUCAGAGUCAUUGAUCUACAUAAAUGGCCCAGGUGUGCUUUUCCAGUACCUCUGUGUUUGAUGAUGUCACAGACAUGCAACAGUGUCAACAGACUGCCAGCAUCUGGGGUUGCUCUGCCCGGCGCUGGACGAUAAGUGGGCCCAGGCUUGAAACAUCAGCACAGCUCCACAUGUAGCAUUCCAUGGGACUCUUCUGGCUUCCCACGGUGUUUGACUAAAGGUGUUCCUUCAUUUCCAUCAUGUGGUGUGUGCUCUCCCUCUUCUCCUCUCCAUCCUCUCUUCUCUUACCUCGUUUAUUUCCUCUCCUUUUCUCUCCUUUUCUCUCCUAUGCUAUUGCUAUGCUAAUCUAACUAUGCCAUGAAAAGAAGAGGAUACCUUGACAGAUUGCCUUUCCAAAACCAGAGCCCCACCUGGGAUAGCCCCACCCAGACAAGCUGCCCUCCGUCUGUUCCGUCACUCACAACCGGAUGUCUCUCUGUAAAGUGGUAAACACAUUUCUGCUCGAUUUUAUUAGCCGAGGUUGUGGCUUGAACUGAGAAUGACCUGUUUAGAUUUGGUUUCCUUUUCUCUUAUUCACUGGGAGCACAGAAAGUGGGGCAGUGUCAUUUAUGCAAUCAUGUCCCAGCCAUGCUGAAGUCACUAAUGCAGUUUGAAUAAAGCAAAAACAAUUCAUUGCU